GUCUAGCCGCCCGUUUUCAAGAGCUCAAUCUCAGAAUACAUAAAGGCAACCAACAAUUCACACUCACGACGACACCGAUGGGGAAAUUCAAUCCAAUUAAAAGUCAGGUGUCAUCCCUAUAGAUGUUGAAAUGAAAAAUACAUGUAACAUUAUUUACUUCAAUGUCUAUACAAAAAUAUAAAUAUGAGCGGAGAGCGCGUCAUCCGUGCGCAAAGUUGCGAAAGUGUCGUUUGACAUCCAAGUGGUCGCCAUAUUGGUUGCAUCUACUGUCCGUGUACAUUCGCCAUUGAAAACGCGUUGUGGCCCCUACCGUGGGAGACGAACAGGUCAGCAGCCGGCUCGGCCUUGUCAACAAGGCCGGUGGCAAUUCACAAGGCCUGCGGCUGUUGCACGGAAGCCUUCCGAUGCGCACAUCGGGACAUUUGGCACCCCUGAUUUACGGAUUAUGCCACCCAACUGUUGUAUUUUUUAGUAAUUGCUGAAGCCAUGACCGGCGGACGUGGCAGCUUGGUCACGGGGUGGCUCAUUUUCGGCGUCGAGGUGGCUUAUCACGGCGCCCAGCCGGGCCGCUUUAUGGCAUUGUCGUCGCACAUGGCUGAGUGCGCCAUUGCCGGCGGCGUUGUUCAUACCCACCGCCUGACGCGGCAGCCUUCGCCAGCACCUCUGUCAUAUUGGCUGUAUACACACCUACCCGUCAUUUGGAACCCACGAAUCUCUCGUCCUUUGCACCCGUGCAAUCCAAUUUUCACGACAAACAGGUUCUCAUGGAAACUUAUGAAGGGUAAAUCCAUCCUCCCGAGAGUUCGAGCAAUAUCCAGCAAUGCGACGAGCCGGCAUUUUGGCUAACACGAAGGAACCACGAGCUACCUUCCCGCAGGUAAAACUAAUAGAAAGAAACGAGUCCACUUGUGUGCGCUACUGGCCUGUACGUCACUUCCUGCUGCUUGUCGAAAACAAAGCCCUCGAGAAGAUUUUCGUGGCGGGAGUUACAAAAAGCCAUACACGUCAAAAUCAUGUUUUGCGGUGAAAAAACGGAUUGGCCCUUACCGGCUGCCAUUUUUUCAAUAAUAACAUACUAAAAAUCCUCCAUUUCAUGACAGUGGCCCUUUAACCUAUCCAAUUUUUUUUUUUUUUGUUUGGGGGGGAGAGACGUGAACAAGAUGUGCAAAUAACACACAGUAAGAGCUGAGACUCAAACCCAGAACCUAUUGACUGUGAGGCAGACAUGCUAACCACUAUUUCACAUGUUGCC